rnacentral:tRNA from 1 species
GGGGACUUAGCUCAGCGGUAGAGCGCUUGCCUAGGAAGCGCAAGGCCCUGGGUUCAGUCCCCA